rnacentral:rRNA from 1 species
CUAAGGCCAACGGGAGAAGGGUUGUUAAGGAACUCGGCAAGUUGACCCCGUAACUUAGGGAUAAGGGGUGCUCAAGUGAUUGAGCCGCAGAGAAUAGGCCCAGGCGACUGUUUAGCAAAAACACAGGUCUCUGCUAAAUCGAAAGAUGACGUAUAGGGGCUGACACCUGCCCGGUGCCGGAAGGUUAAGAGGAGAUGUGAGAGCAUUGAAUUGAAGCCCCGGUAAACGGCGGCCGUAACUAUAACGGUCCUAAGGUAGCGAAAUUCCUUGUCAGGUAAGUUCUGACCCGCACGAAAGGUGUAACGAUCUGGGCACUGUCUCAACAACCCGCCCGGCGAAAUUGUAGUACCGGUGAAGAUGCCGGUUACCCGCGACUAGACGGAAAGACCCCAUGGAGCUUUACUGUAGCCUAAUAUUGGAUUUCGGUAUUUCACGUACAGGAUAGGUGGGAGACUGGGAAGCACAGGCGUCAGCUUGUGUGGAGUCGACCUUGGGAUACCACUCUUGGAGUGCUGGAAUUCUAACCUGCGGCUUUGAAGCAAGUCGGGGGACAUUGUUAGGUGGGCAGUUUGACUGGGGCGGUCGCCUCCUAAAGAGUAACGGAGGCGCUCAAAGGUUCGCUCUGCAUGGAUGGAAACCAUGCGUCAGAGUGUAAACGCAAAAGCGAGCCUAACUGCGAGAAUGACGGUUCGAGCAGUAACGAAAGUUGGAGUUAGUGAUCCGGCGGUAUGUGAAUGGAAAUGCCGUCGCUCAACGGAUAAAAGCUACCCUGGGGAUAACAGGCUGAUCUCCCCCAAGAGUCCACAUCGACGGGGAGGUUUGGCACCUCGAUGUCGGCUCAUCGCAUCCUGGGGCUGAAUUCGGUCCCAAGGGUUUGGCUGUUCGCCAAUUAAAGCGGUACGCGAGCUGGGUUCAGAACGUCGUGAGACAGUUCGGUCCCUAUCUGUCGUGGGCGUAGGAUAUUUGCAAGGAGCUGUCCCUAGUACGAGAGGACCGGGAUGGACGCACCUCUGGUGCACCAGUUGUCACGCCAGUGGCACAGCUGGGCAGCUAUGUGCGGAACGGAUAAACGCUGAAGGCAUCUAAGCGUGAAGCCGCCCUUAAGAUAAGAUAUCCCUUCUGUUUACAGAGUAAGACCCCUUGAAGACUACAAGGUUGAUAGGCUCAAAGUGUAAGCACGGUGACGUGUUUAGCUAGCGAGUACUAAUCGGUCGAGGGCUUAACCUU